GACGAAGGGGGCUAGCGUUGUUCGGAAUUACUAGGCGUAAAGCGCGUGUAGGCGGUUGUUCAAGUCAGGUGUGAAAGCCUUGAGCUCAACUCAAGAAAUGCACUUGAUACUGGAUGACUAGAGGACCGGAGAGGAUAGUGGAAUUCCCAGUGUAGUGGUGAAAUACGUAGAGAUUGGGAAGAACACCAGUGGCGAAGGCGGCUAUCUGGACGGUUUCUGACGCUAAGACGCGAAAGCGUGGGGAGCAAACAGG
rnacentral:rRNA from 1 species